rnacentral:rRNA from 1 species
AGUGAACGCUGGCGGUAGGCCUAACACAUGCAAGUCGAACGGCAGCACAGUAAGAGCUUGCUCUUACGGGUGGCGAGUGGCGGACGGGUGAGGAAUACAUCGGAAUCUACUUUUUCGUGGGGGAUAACGGAGGGAAACUUACGCUAAUACCGCAUACGACCUACGGGUGAAAUCAGGGGAUCUUCGGACCUUGCGCGAUUGAAUGAGCCGAUGUCGGAUUAGCUAGUUGGCGGGGUAAAGGCCCACCAAGGCGACGAUCCGUAGCUGGUCUGAGAGGAUGAUCAGCCACACUGGAACUGAGACACGGUCCAGACUCCUACGGGAGGCAGCAGUGGGGAAUAUUGGACAAUGGGCGCAAGCCUGAUCCAGCCAUACCGCGUGGGUGAAGAAGGCCUUCGGGUUGUAAAGCCCUUUUGUUGGGAAAGAAAAUCAGCAGGUUAAUACCCCGCUGUUCUGACGGUACCCAAAGAAUAAGCACCGGCUAACUUCGUG